rnacentral:rRNA from 1 species
UACGUAGGGUGCUAGCGUUGCUCGGAAUCACUGGGCGUAAAGCGCACGUAGGCGGCUUGUUAAGUCAGGGGUGAAAUCCUGGAGCUCAACUCCAGAACUGCCUUUGAUACUGGCGAUCUCGAGUCCGGGAGAGGUGAGUGGAACUGCGAGUGUAGAGGUGAAAUUCGUAGAUAUUCGCAAGAACACCAGUGGCGAAGGCGGCUCACUGGCCCGGUACUGACGCUGAGGUGCGAAAGCGUGGGGAGCAAACAGG